GGUCAGGUGGUGUAGUGGUAUCACCCUUGCUAUAUAUGCAGAAGUCCUGGGUUCAAUUCCCAGUCUAGCCA